AACGAACGCUGGCGGCAGGCUUAACACAUGCAAGUCGAACGCGUGUAGCAAUACACGAGUGGCGCACGGGUGAGUAACGCGUGGAUAUCUGCCUUUUGGUUCGGAAUAACCCCGGGAAACUGGGGCUAAUACCGGAUGGUUCCUUCGGGAUAAAGAUUUAUCGCCAAAAGAUGAGUCCGCGUACGAUUAGCUAGUUGGUGAGGUAAUGGAUCACCAAGGCGACGAUCGUUAGCUGGUCUGAGAGGACGAUCAGCCACACUGGGACUGAGACACGGCCCAGACUCCUACGGGAGGCAGCAGUGGGGAAUAUUGGACAAUGGGGGCAACCCUGAUCCAGCCAUGCCGCGUGAGUGAUGAAGGCCUUCGGGUUGUAAAGCUCUUUUGGCGGGGACGAUGAUGACGGUACCCGCAGAAUAAGCCCCGGCUAACUUCGUGCCAGCCGCCGCUGUAA
rnacentral:rRNA from 1 species